rnacentral:rRNA from 1 species
CAUGCAGUCGAGCGAGAAACUCCUUCGGGAGUGAGUAGAGCGGCGGACGGGUGAGUAACGCGUAGGAAUCUACCUGGUAGUGGGGGACAACAGUUGGAAACAGCUGCUAAUACCGCAUACGCCCUAUGGGGGAAAGCGGGGGAUCUUCGGACCUCGCGCUAUCGGAUGAGCCUGCGUUAGAUUAGCUUGUUGGUGAGGUAAAAGCUCACCAAGGCGACGAUCCAUAGCUGGUCUGAGAGGAUGAUCAGCCACACCGGGACUGAGACACGGCCCGGACUCCUACGGGAGGCAGCAGUGGGGAAUAUUGCGCAAUGGGGCGAAAGCCUGACGCAGCCAUGCCGCGUGUGUGAAGAAGGCCUUAGGGUUGUAAAGCACUUUCAAUUGGGAAGAAAAGCUCAUGGUUAAUAACCAUGAGCCCUGACAUUACCUUUAGAAGAAGCACCGGCUAACUCCGUGCCAGCAGCCGCGGUAAUACGGGAGGGGUGCGAGCGUUAAUCGGAAUUACUGGGGCGUAAAGGCGCGCGUAGGUGGUUUUUUAAGUCGGAUGUGAAAUCCCCCGGGCUUAACCUGAGAACUGCAUCCGAUACUGGACGACUAGAUGCGAGAGAAGGGAGGUAGAAUUCCACGUGUAGCGGUGAAAUGCAUAGAUAUGUG